AUUGAACGCUGGCGGCAUGCCUUACACAUGCAAGUCGAACGGCAGCACGGGAGCAAUCCUGGUGGCGAGUGGCGAACGGGUGAGUAAAGUAUCGGAACGUGCCCAGUCGUGGGGGAUAACGUAGCGAAAGUUACGCUAAUACCGCAUACGAUCUGUGGAUGAAAGCGGGGGAUCGCAAGACCUCGCGCGAUUGGAGCGGCCGAUAUCAGAUUAGGUAGAUGGUGGGGUAAAGGCUCACCAAGCCGACGAUCUGUAGCUGGUCUGAGAGGACGACCAGCCACACCGGGACUGAGACACGGCCCAGACUCCUACGGGAGGCAGCAGUGGGGAAUUUUGGACAAUGGGCGAAAGCCUGAUCCAGCCAUGCCGCGUGCAGGAUGAAGGCCUUCGGGUUGUAAACUGCUUUUGUACGGAACGAAAAGGUUUGGCCUAAUAAGCUGAGCUCAUGACGGUACCGUAAGAAUAAGCACCGGCUAACUACGUGCCAGCCGCCGCAGUAAUAC
rnacentral:rRNA from 1 species